rnacentral:lncRNA from 1 species
UGCAAGAAACAAAAACCCAUUCAAACUAGGUUAGGCAAAAACCCCCCACUUAUUUGAGAAGUAAGAGGCCUUUCCUGUCACCCAAGAACACAACAGCCUGAAUUUCAGUUUAAAAAUUCGAGGAUCAAGGGGACUGUGCCAAGUAAUCUUGACCAUCAACUUGAAUGGAUGUCUUCAUCCUGGGUGACUCCAGGAGAGGUGGCAGAUUAUGGGGGGCUGUACUAACUGGUGGAUUUAUCCUCUAAUGUUGAUGGCUGAAUGUGCUGCUAGGAGGGGACCCAGCUGGAGCCUGUCCACCAACACGUUCCUGCCUUGGAGCCAGUCAGCCAUGGACUGAAACCUCUGAAGCUGUGGGCCAAAUAAACUUCUCCUCCUUUAAGUUCGAGCAGCUGCCCACCAUCAAAGCUCUCAGAGGACCAGCUCUGUGAGCUCGGGACGUCUCUGAAGUUUGAGUUGGGAAUGAUGGGAAAGUAAUACUGGAAUGAUGGAGAAAAAUCAGUCAGCUCAAUUCCCCAGCGUGUAUGAACAUAGGAACAUACACGUGGAAGACACAAAAUUGGUGAAAGACUCUGGCCUGAGUUCGCUGAGACUGGUAUAACUGUGGAAAGAUGACAGUACAGAGGGCCUAGGGAAAGGGGACAAUUGUGAGUAAGAAAGUUCUUUCUUGUGGUUUGGGUGGAUCCCUGGAAUUCAUGUAUUGCAACAUUAAUG